UAGCUGGAUCGAGGUUUGUAGUGU
rnacentral:piRNA from 1 species